UGAGUGAGGAUGUUGAUAAGUCAUCCUGAAACAUGAUAUUCUAUGCAGUUCUCAGUUAGUUUGCUGUAUGAAUUCUUGAAUCAGUGUGGACUUAGAAGCCCUUUCUAUUCUGCUUCGCGGAAGCUGCUAGCCGGAGAACGUAAAAAUCCUCUCCUGGCUUAGAGCUGGCAUUAGAGGAUGCGUACCAUCCUUAUGACUGGAUGGAGGAAGAAGCCGGUUUUUAAAGAAAGAAACAACCACCACGAAGAACAUCCUUCUCAACAGAAAUGAUGUAAACUAGUAAAGGAAUGAAGAGUACAAGUUGCUGGGCUGGGAGAAGGUGGUGAACUUGUCAUGCUGUAACUGGGUCUUUUCCUCUUCCUCCUUAGCCGAGGGCGUGUCCUUGUUUAUUCUUUUCAUUCUUUAAUAAAAUAUAGCUGGGCUUCAGCCGUCUUGUUUCUUAAAAAACCGAAGGAAUGAUGAUUGUGUAAAUCUUGAUAAAUACUGUAUGAAGGAGACAACGUGGUAUGAAGAGUCUCGGCAACUUGGCAUGUAACACAAAAUCCAAACUACCCAUGAUGGUUAUAGUCCAAAUGAUCUCGGGGAGAUUAAGAAACAUGCUGUCUGUCCCAUAAAAAAAAAAUUGAGAUGUAGCAGAAGCAAGAAGAUUCUGUUUUGGUUGCUGAGAAAGUGAAAGAAAAAAAGAUUUGUUAGGGAGGAAUCACUUUUCUGUUUUUUGGUAGUAAAAACAAAAUUCAAGGAGAGAGAGUCAAGAGAAAAUAAAGGAUCAAUUUUUUUUCCUUAACAACUCUAAAAUGUUUCCUUCUCCAAAUGGAAGCAAAUUUAAGAGAACAUAACAAGAAAGCAAUUGGUUCCUGAUAACUUGAUUAUAUCUUAACCACUUUUAUAACAACCUUCUUUAAAAUUUUCUCAUAUCAACCAAACAUGAAAAAUGCUUAACUUUUUUUUUUAAUUUUCUUUUCUGCUUUUUUUUUCGCCGCUACUUUGUUUUUCUCUCUCUUGUUUUUGCGGCAACCAAGACAGCUGAGAUGUUUCAUGGUGGGAAAGCCUCCGACUUCAAACAUUAAUAGACAAACAAUCAAAUUUUUGGUUUUACGUACCAUUGGAGGAGGAAAUGAAGGCAGUUCAUUUUAACAAGGCUCCAAAAAUACAUUGGAUUCUAGAAAAGAAGACAUCCUGUGAGUAUAGACUUCUUUGAAAAUGUUCUGUACAUGACAAAGGGAAUCGGGUUGUAUAUUCUAAUCUCAGAGUACCAGUCUUGCGGUUGCAGGAGUUCCAGCCAAAUGGUCUACAAUCUACAUACCCUAAUCUCUCUAGAACAGAAGGCAUUUGUGCUUGGUUCAGCCAUUACUAAUUAUUUUAGAAUGAACAUCAAUCUGUCCACCAUGAUCCAAGAAUCAAGGGAUAUAAUAUGGUCAAAACAAAUGACAUGGAGAAAUUUACCACAGGUUAUCAAGAGGAUUUAUUUAGGUAUGGUUGAAUAAAUUUCCUUCACCAAUGAUCCUACAGAUUUUAAAUAUAUAGAACAGAUGAAUUUACAAGGCAACCCCAUGCCUGCAAUAUUGUGUGUCAUGUGAAUUCUUCACUUAGUUUUUCCAUCAAGCAUAAGAACAAUCUCUUCUAAGCCAAAUGGCAAGCAAAUUAAAGAAUGCAGACAAAAGAUAUUUUGGCACCAGCAACAUCAUCUGGAGACUUUUUAGGUGCAAACAAAAUUUGGUGCCCAUACAAUCAAUGUUUCAUUGUUUCCCCCCUUUUUCCUUUGCUAGAAAUCAAUGAUCAGUUAUGUAGGAGACAACUUGAAAUUGGUAACUGGUAAUUUAAUAAUGCUCUUACACCAAAUUUAUACAACUUUCUUAGUAGUUAGGUGACAAAAGUACAUGAUUACGUGAAGUUUACGUUUCAAAAUUUUAUUAGUAGUAAAAGAAUCGCUCAACUCAAUUCUGGUCCAACUACCUAAUUGGCCAUAAAGAGUUAGGGUCUUAAAUUUGGACCUAAAUCUAAAGUAGGCAAUUCUUCUAAGCAAACUGCCCAUUUGCAUAUCUACAGCACUCUCAAUGUCACGAAUGUGAAUUUGGUUCCCUUUCAUUCCAAGUCAAUGAAUGAGGAGCUACCAUGAUUGGCUGGAAGAAAAGGGAAUUAGCUAUGUCAUUAGCAACUAUACCAAUUUGCCAAGUUCCAAUUUUUCACGCCAUGUUGCACUGAAAGGAAGGAGAUUAUUCUGGCAGAGAAUAUACACAAGCUUGCAGCGAGUGUGCUAGAUGCAUAUUUUUCCUAAUGUGAAAUGACAAAAUACCAAAUAGGAUCUGCACAAAUCAAUAUGGAGACUUUGCACUUAAAACUGAUAAUGUACCAGCUUUUAUUUGGUUGAUGUGUUCGAAGGCUCCACAGCAAAACAAUCCCGAUGGAUGUUUAGAAAAUAUCAUCAAAAAAAGUAAAUCAAAUUCUAGUUUCUUGAAUAGCAAAAUGAGUUGUGAUUAUUCUUAUACCAAUUUCUUCUGUCAGGAGUCAAUUUCUGCUGGGAGGCUUUGAACAAGUUAUUGCCAUCUGUCAAACAUGUUCAGCUCAUGACCCUACAAAUAAAAAUUGACCGCACUCCAUGAGGUCCUGAUGAUAAUAAUAAUAAGAAGAGGAAUAAUGAAACACAAUAGUGCAUACCUGUAUGUUUUCCAUCAUGGAACCGUGCAUUUUUUGAUGACUUAAAUGUUUCCAAGAAUUCUUUAGCCUUCUGCAGCUCUAGUUUCUGUCUAGCCUUGUCCCACUUGUGUUCAUCAGCCAAAAUCUUAAUAAUGCGUGGCAAAGCUCGCCCUGCUGCAUCAGUGUCGAGAAAAGCAAGCCGAGACCUCCUGGCAAUGAAAUCAAUAGCAGAUUCACAGUACUCAUGCCGAGCACAGUAUGCGACCUCAGCCUCCAGAAAUGGGUAUCCAUGUGCAAGCCGCUUCCCUAGAUUCUCAUUCUGCAAAACCAGAAAAAUUAGUGAGAUUACUUGAAGAAAUCAUCUGUCCAAACAAGUUUGCUCUGAGACUUCACACAUGUUAAGCAAGUGGAUUAUCUGCAGAUGGAAGCAUCUGGAGAUAACAAGAACUACGAUCUUAACCAACUAAUAGCUUCCCACCAAUCUGGUUUAACAUCAUAAAUACUGCUUGACACAUAAAUAUGUGUUGAAAGCACACAUCCACAUGAAAGCAAGCUUUCUCUUCCUCCCACCACCACGGGCCCAUAUUUCAUUAUUGUAGGUUUUCUUUCAAAUUGCUUUAAAAAUCGAUCACUUCCUUUUAAACUUCACUGCACCAGACCAUACACAUUAUAAUCCAGCCAAAACUAUAUCCAUAACAACUAGCUUACUCUACCUAUUUGUUUAUAAAUUCUUAUUCACAUUAAUUCCUGUAGAUAUCUAAACCUUUAUUUAGUCAAUAUGAUAAUUUUUCUAAUAUUUUCCAUCUAUUUUUUUCUUAGGGAUUCCACCUAUCAUUAACCGUCCACAGAAGUUAAAUAAUUCCUUAUUGCUAGGGCCUCAGAUUUACAUUGCCCAAUAACCCAUACCAUCUAAUUCAUUUUACCACAUUAUCCCUCAUAUGAUCUUAAAGCAUUUGCCAUCACAGUCAUAUAACAGUAUAACUCUGAUAACUAGAAAAUUUUUGGCAUCCCAGAUAUUGCUAGAGAUGUUGCUUUUACUGAAUCAUUUUGGGUGCUGUCAAUUUAACAAGAAUACAAGAACAUCUAGCUAAAUCUGUAAGAAUACCAUUGGCUAAAAAACAAAAAAAGAUGCACAAGACACAAGGAUUAAAAAGUCAUGAAAACUGAUCUCAUUUAUGCAGAAAAUUUUGAAGGCCUUCUUGAACUGCGAUAGGAAUCAAACAUUGCAGACUUAUUUGGAACAUAAAAUAUAUGUACUUAUGUUGUAUAUAGGAAAGCAGUUUUACAUAACAAAGAGAAUAUAUAAUGUGUCAUAGAUCUAAUGUGGUCGCAAGGGGCAUACUGCUAAUGCACCUAGAAUAUGCAGAGUUGGUAAUAGAAAUCUGCUGAUGAAAAGAUUUCCAAAGAAUAAAAUUUCUUUAGCUCAUUAUAAAGACUUUCACUACAUUCAUAAAUUAUAUACACAAGGCAUAUCCAAUUGAUUUGGGUUGACUACAUGGAAGCCUAUGUCACCUUUGGUUCCUAUUCAAAGUUAUUCCUCCUCAGAUGAAAUUUCCGUCCGGUAAUUUAGGACUACAGCUACAUCUCAUAAUUCUGUCUCUUUUCUUGUCCGAUUUGUCCUAAACAUAUCUUUACCUGUAAUACGUCGACCUUAAAUCGUCCUCAUCUUAUGCUCAAGGUUCCUUGUUGAGUAACAUCUUGAUCCACAGAUGUAACUGUAGUAAGAUUAUACUAUGAAGUGUAGAUGAGUAUGACAACUGCAACUGCUAUUGUGAAGUGCCCCUUCACUAAAUCAAAGGGAUCAUAAGCAAUCUCGUCCCUUAAUUCUAACAUGUAUUCCCACUAAAGAUGCACCUAGUAAAGCCUGUUUCAAUUUAACAUGCAUUUGAAGUUUUGAACCAAUAUUGUCCAAGGUAUGCCUAAGGCAUGCCCUGAGGUGCAGUGAGGUGCCACCAGCGCUUUGCCUGCCUCAAGUCGAAGCCCCUUUACUUAGACACUAAAAUGGUGCGCCUUUUUUGUGCCUUGAGUAAAAUGCUCAGAUGCAAAAAAGCAUGCCUUUUCUGUAAGUAAUCUCAGCUGUCAAUCUGUCAGGGUUUGACCAAAAUUUUGGGGCUUUGGGGCCAAAAGAGAGAUGGAGCUGAAGUGGUAGAUAGACAGACAGAACGAAAAAAAGGUGGAUCUAGGGCUCCAAUAGAUAGAUUGAGAGAAAAGGAAGAUUAGGGCUCAAACCAAAGCUUCGGCAGCAGCCACCCUUCCAUCCAGCAAGUCAUCCAACUCUUCUUCUUCAAUAGAUGCUGUUGCAGCUACAGCUGCAGAUAUGGUUCUGUCCAUCAGAAACAGGACAAAACACAACAACUCUGAUUUUUUCGAUAUUUGACAUGCCUUGUCCUCCGUAUGUCUAUAAAUGUGAAUUUGAAUAUCUUUUAUUGGUAUUUAUAUUUGCAUUCAUAAAUUGAUAAUUUCAUUGUCAAAUUGUUUAGAAUCAUGUAUUCAUUAUCAUUUAUAGAUAUUGCACCUAGUGUCUAGGUUUCAAGUAUUCCUUGGCACCUGAGGGUGCCUUGAGCCAUGGACAACUUUGAACUGAACCUCUAUUUUUUGCAACUUCCAAAUUUCAAAUUAAAGUUGGUCUCUUAAUGUCAAUAAACAAAAGAAUAUUAUAAAUAAAUAACAUGUACAAUAAAGCACCUGGUUGGAUAUUUAUAGUUAUUAAGGUAUUCACUGCAUAAACCCCUCAAUGAUGGAAGUUGAGAGGAUGAGUAGAGGCAAAGGACAUGACAUUGUUUUGACCAGGAAGCCUCUGGAGCAUGCAAUCCUAUAAUUCUAGGAUAAUAGAUUCCAGCUUCAAUGUGAAUUUUGAUGUCCUUGCUCUACGGAAACUUUGUGAUAUAUGGUUUUUCUAGUUAUAAAAAUUUUUCAUCCUCACCGAUAAGAUCUUCCACAAGCCAACUACAAAGAAUAUUCAUUGGAUUACCUCUCCGGGGAUCCAAAAAGACCCUAGAUGUUAGCAUAUGCUCAACAAUGGAAGCAUAUCUUUUCUGAUGGGUUUGCUCGUUCAAGUCAAAAAUUUUCCACAAGCAAACUUACAAUUAAUUGGGUAAAAAGAACUACAAAAAAUAUAAAUAAAAUAAAAUUUCUCCUUUUCAUUCACUAGAACAGAUGAUAAGAAUAAGUGAUUUUUUACUACUACUAUCAGCUCCAAAGCUGCUGGCAGACCAGUCUACCAGCUAAUGUUUAUUUUAGAAUUAAUAGUAACCUUGGCGCCCAAACAAAAUUUUAGAAGAUUGAAGUAUCUCAUAUUGAAAUUGCAAUAAUUGCUUUCUAAAGAGCCAUUCUAAUGGUCAUUAUUUGAAUUAGCUACUGCAUUAACAAAAAUACAUGCAGAAUCUGCAGGAAUGGGUCCUUGAUAUUUGAUGCCGCACAGUCCAAUUAAUUAUUAUUUUCUUCCAAUCCAUCAUCUCCUACCAAAAGGCCCAUUUAGAAGCCUUGAUAAGAUUACAUUGAACUCACUGCUUUACGGUUCGUAGUUUGCUUGUAAGAUGAGGAAUUGAUAGCAAUUCCUUUGUUUCUGAGUCAAGUCAUGGAUUUAACUACCUCUAAAUCUGAUUUUAAUUGCACCCAAGAAUUUAUAAGGUGAGACAAGGUUUGCUGGUUAUAGUUAUUGUAGAAACCUGGAUUUUGACAACCCAUAAGAAAGAUAAGCGUCCUUGAUAAUGAUGCCCCAGAAUUCAGCAAUCCAAGAUAAGGGACCUGGUCAUGUCGUGAUAUGCAUUUCCAUGUAUUGCAUCCUUCAAUUUAGGGGAAGGGGCUUCCAGCCCACUUAAGUUGAACUGACAAACUGCCAAAAUGCUUCUGAUGCCAUAUUAAUUGCCGUCAUUAGAGUUCUGGACCAUAGAAGGAGGGGAGCAACAAAUGGUGGAUCCCCAUCCUUGGUUGUCUUUCAAAGCCAUACUAACUAGCAUCAGUUGCCUUCCAACGAGACCUCCUUGACCAUCGGAAGGCUCCCAACUUCUGCAAGAACUCAAACUCUCCCAAGUUGGUUGUUACAUGAUUUGGCUUGAUUUUCACGAGUUUUAGUCAUUUUUCAAUACUUUCUUUAGUCCCACAUUGGAUAUGCAGGAGCAGGGCCUCCCUUGAGAGCCCUAUAUAAACCCCCCAGCUCCUAAGGCUAGGAUCAAUCUAGAAACUAUUAAAAGCAAGGUCUGCCGUACCGCCCCGUAUAAGAUGUUCGUACUGUAUAUGGAGAAAACCAGUAUGAAACAUACUUUCAAGUCAGUACAAGCCCCGUACUGCUUGUACUGAGGUGUACCCCUCUGUACCAAGGCGUACCAAGGUCCGUACCGGUCCAUACCGAGGCGUACCAAGAUAAAAAUUAAGAAAAUGAUUAGAGAGCUAUUUCGACACAGAAAUGUACCGCACCGAACCAAUAAGAUACCGAUACGGUACCCGAUACCGAGAUUGCGGACCUUGAUUGCAAGUCUCAAUAAAGGAGCUCUAAGAUUUUGCAAGAGUAUACUUUGAGAGAUUAAGGCUCUCUUGUGUUGGAGGCCGUGAUUUCAAAACUUUUCGGUGUUCCUGGAGAGUGUGGAGGAUUCGUCUCAAUAAAGGAGCUCUAAGAUUUUGCAAGAACAUACUUUGAGAGAUUAAGGUUCUCUUGUAUUGGAGGCCAUGAUUUCAAAACUUUUCGGUGAGCCUGGAGGGUGUGGAGGAUUCACUAGUUCAACAAGGUGUGUGAGAGAUAUCAACCUAGGAUUAGCAUGUUAGAAAGUUUUUCAGUAUCUUCUUUUCCUUUUUUAAGUUAGCAUAGUUUUAUUUUUUGCAUUAGCAUGCACAGACUACUCCUAUAUAGUUAGCUUAUCCUAUCUUCUCUUUUGGGAUUCAAGAGAAGGCUAAGUGUUCCAAUACCACUACCUUCAAACAUGGCCAGUAUUUCUACAAUUAUUUCUCACUUAAUUUUUAGUUUACAUCCAGUUUUCUGCACCCAAUUAGUCUGACUUUAUUUUAUCUCUUCUUCUCCUAGGCACUUUGAAAUCUCUAGGUUAGGUAUAUCCUUGUCCUAAAGAGGUUGAACCCACAACAAAUCUUCUUCCAUGAAGUGAAUAGGUACCUCGUUGGCCAAUAAAAAUGAUGGGUGGUGAUAACUAAAGUCCUGUUGUAGCGGUGGUAUCCCGCAAGUGAACUGGAUAUCACAUAAAGAGGCAACCCUUCAUCAAGAAGCAAAUAGCAAUGAAACUAGGUCUGACACUUGCAACUCAAUUUUAUAGAAGAAAGGACCUAAUUAAAGUCAACACACCUCAACCAAAGUAUUCAAGAUUGGCUUCCAAAUUUUUCUUGCAUGCAUUCGAAUUGAUGAAUAUGUUUGUUCAUCACCAACCCACCUUCCAGGUAUUAUAGCAGGCCCUUUCUUGCCUAAAGUUUCCCUAGCUAGGAACAUGAUGCCGGUUCUCAAACGGUUUGCAUUAGAUUGACAAUCGAUCAUACGGUCUUGGUCAAUCAUUUUGUGGAGAUUUUUUGACUUGGAGAUAUGUUCCACAACCCCUUUCUCUCAAUAAGGCUUUGACAGAUAAUGAUGAUUAGGGUUUACUAGUAGGACCAGAUUCUCCAAAACGCCACUCAUAACACUAUCUUUCAUCUUCAUUUUGCUGUUGUGAUUCUUAACACUAAUCAACCUAUCUACUUAUCCUUCUCAGUAAUAUUUGAACAUACUCAUAUUAUUGUUGUCGCUACUACUUAACCAUUAUUGAUGCACCCCUCUUUUGUCCAUAUGUUAUAUGUCUCAUACCCAGCCAUUUAUUACUUAACCACAUAUUGUUAUAUACUAUUUAUAAAAAAAAAGAGUGCGAAACUUGCCCAUGCUACAAAAAUAAGUAAUCUGUUUAUUAAAACUCUCAAUUGUAUAAAUUAUGCUUAUGGGCAAAUAAUAUAUAGUUCUCACUUUAAAGAUUAAAGCAACCCUCGUCCUAAUCCUUUCUCACAGCUAACCACCUUACAGCUGCCACUCUCUCCAAAUAUAUACAUUUUUUUUCAUUUCUAAACAUGAAAUUAUUUUAUUUUAAUAAAUUUCUACAGCCCCCAUUUUUCCAGAUAGUUUCCUUAUCAUGUCUAUACAAUUUGCAGGCUUACUGUGCAUUGCACAUGCCUGCAAGCUAAUCCAACUAGACAUACCUGACAACUUAGCUCAAGUGCUUGGACACUUUUGAUUUCUCGACAUUUGGAGUCAUACAAUAUUGAUAUCUUUAACAUUAUCAAAACAUUAUCUCGUAAAUCAGAGGCACAUUGAUAUCACAUGACAUCUUAGAAGCAUCUCUUCACUCAUCCAGUACUUAUGUUAAAUAUGUGCACCUCGUCUAAAUUUUAGGUAUAAGAAAUACCAUAUAAGAAAUGAUCAUAAUAGGAUAUAUUUAGGCCAUUCAUCUAGGGGUGGCAAUUUGCACCGCCCCAUCGGAAAACCGACUCAACCUUAAUGGGGUGGGUUUUACCCGUCUCAUUAAGAGCUGGCAAUGAGAAUAAAAUCCCAAGAAUUGAAACUGUUGGGAUGGUCUGAAUGGUUUGAUGCUUAAGAAAAUCCCAAGCCCCCUCUCUCCACCCGACGGUCCCCUCGCCCGAUCUCACUCUAUUUCCAUCUCUCUCCCUCUCCCUCCAUCUUGGAUGCCUCCUCCCAUGCGUUAGAAGCUUGCUCCCUCUCCUAGGUCAGCUUUCCCUCAUGCCCAUCAAAACCCUCAUCUUCGAUUGGAACUCCUCUUCUUCAUUCCAUCUCCCGCAACCCAAUGAUCGUGGUUGGCUUCCUCCACUGCAUCCUUCAUCUCCAACUACGGCCUACACUUUUCCGAUGGAGAUUCCUAGGUACAACUCUCGAUCUCUCUUUCUCCCUCUUCCCCCCUCUUCUCACCAAUUUUUCGACCCUUCUUCUUGUCUCCGACCUCCUAGGAUUGUGGUUAGGGUUAGGUUCGGGUUCUAUCUCCUCUCUCUCUAUCUCCCUCCCUCCCCCCUCUCUUUUUCCCUCACUCUCUUCCCUCUCCCCUUCCUCUCCCCCCACUC
rnacentral:lncRNA from 1 species